GAUGAACGCUGGCGGCGUGCCUAAUACAUGCGAGUCGAGCGAACGGACUAGAAGCUUGCUUCUCUGAUGUUAGCGGCGGACGGGUGAGUAACACGUGGAUAACCUACCUAUAAGACUGGGAUAACUUCGGGAAACCGUAGCUAAUACCGGAUAAUAUUUUGAACCGCAUGGUUCAAAAGUGAAAGACGGUCUUGCUGUCACUUAUAGAUGGAUCCGCGCUGCAUUAGCUAGUUGGUAAGGUAACGGCUUACCAAGGCAACGAUGCAUAGCCGACCUGGGAGGGUGAUCGGCCACACUGGAACUGAGACACGGUCCAGACUCCUACGGGAGGCAGCAGUAGGGAAUCUUCCGCAAUGGGCGAAAGCCUGACGGAGCAACGCCGCGUGAGUGAUGAAGGUCUUCGGAUCGUAAAGCUCUGUUAUUAGGGAAGAACAUAUGUGUAAGUAACUGUGCACAUCUUGACGGUACCUAAUCAGAAAGCCACGGCUAACUACGUG
rnacentral:rRNA from 1 species